UACAUGGUUGACCACUACCGGUUUUUCCAGC
rnacentral:piRNA from 1 species